rnacentral:rRNA from 1 species
UGAAGGUGUAAACGGUCUGGCCUGCUCACUGAUAAAAUUGUUUAAGAGCCGCGGUAUAUUGACCGUGCAAAGGUAGCAUAAUCAUUAGGGGUUUAAUUGGAACCUGGUAUGAAUGGUCGGACAAAGGAAAAACUGUCUUUACAGAUUAAAUUGAAGUUUACUUUUAAGUGAAAAGGCUUGAAUAAAUCAAAGGGACGAUAAGACCCUAUAAAGCUUUAUAGGUAAUCUAAAUCUGAUUAAAUUAAAUCUAUAAAGAUUGAAUAUAGUUAUCCUAUUUUGUUGGGGUGAUAUGAGUAUAAUUAUUGUUAACUGCUUAAAAAAAAUACUUAUAUAAAAGAAUUGAUAAUAUAAAUGAUCCUUUUUAAAGAUUAAAAGACUAAGUUACUUUAGGGAUAACAGCGUUAUUUUUUUUGAGAGUUCAUAUCGAAAAAGAAGAUUGCGACCUCGAUGUUGAAUUAAAAUAUCUAUAUAAUGCAGCCGUUAUAAAAGAGGGUCUGUUCGACCUUUAAAUU